GGGAACGUACCCUUCGGUUCGGAAUAACUCAGGGAAACUUGAGCUAAUACCGGAUACGCCCUUUUGGAGAAAGGUUUACUGCCGAAGGAUCGGCCCGCGUCUGAUUAGCUUGUUGGUGGGGUAACGGCCUACCAAGGCGACGAUCAGUAGCUGGUCUGAGAGGAUGAUCAGCCACACUGGGACUGAGACACGGCCCAGACUCCUACGGGAGGCAGCAGUGGGGAAUAUUGGACAAUGGGCGCAAGCCUGAUCCAGCCAUGCCGCGUGAGUGAUGAAGGCCUUAGGGUUGUAAAGCUCUUUUGUCCGGGACGAUAAUGACGGUACCGGAAGAAUAAGCCCCGGCUAACUUCGUGCCAGCAGCCGCGGUAAUACGAAGGGGGCUAGCGUUGCUCGGAAUCACUGGGCGUAAAGGGCGCGUAGGCGGCCGAUUAAGUCGGGGGUGAAAGCCUGUGGCUCAACCACAGAAUUGCCUUCGAUACUGGUUGGCUUGAGACCGGAAGAGGACAGCGGAACUGCGAGU
rnacentral:rRNA from 1 species